GACGAGUUGGCGAACGGGUGAGUAAUACAUCCGGACGUGCCAGUCGUGGGGGAUAACUACUCGAAAGAGUAGCUAAUACCGGCAUACGAUCUGAGGAUGAAAGCGGGGGACCUUCGGGCCUCGCGCGAUUGGAGCGGCCGAUGGCAGAUUAGUAGUUGGUGGGAUAAAAGCUUACCAAGCCGACGAUCUGUAGCUGGUCUGAGAGGACGACCAGCCACACUGGGACUGAGACACGGCCCAACUCCUGCGGGAGGCAGCAAUGGGGAAUUUUGGACAAUGGGCGAAAGCCUGAUCCAGCAAUGCCGCGUGCAGGAUGGAGGCCUUCGGGUUGUAAACUGCUUUUGUACGGAACGAAAAAGCUUCUCCUAAUACGAGAGGCCCAUGACGGUACCGUAAGAAUAAGCACCGGCUAACUACGUGCCACAGCCGCGGUAAUACGUAGGUGCGAGCGUUAAUCGGAAUUACUGGGCGUAAAGCGUGCGCAGGCGGUUAUUGUAAGACAGAUGUUGAAAUCCCCGGGGCUCAAACCUGGGAACUGCAUUUUGUGGACUGCAUGGUAGAGUACGGGUCAGAGGGGGGGAUGGGAAAUUCCCGCGUGGU
rnacentral:rRNA from 1 species